rnacentral:rRNA from 1 species
UACGAAGGGUGCAAGCGUUACUCGGAAUUACUGGGCGUAAAGCGUGCGUAGGUGGUUUGUUAAGUCUGAUGUGAAAGCCCUGGGCUCAACCUGGAAAUUGCAUUGGAUACUGGCAGGCUAGAGUGCGGUAGAGGAUGGCGGAAUUCCCGGUGUAGCAGUGAAAUGCGUAGAGAUCGGGAGGAACAUCUGUGGCGAAGGCGGCCAUCUGGACCAGCACUGACACUGAGGCACGAAAGCGUGGGGAGCAAACAGG